rnacentral:rRNA from 1 species
UGCUGGAACAUAACUGACGUAAGGCGGAAAGCGUGGGAGCAAACAGGAUUAGAUACCCUGGUAGUCACGCCCUAAACGAUGAACACUAGUCGUCGUGAUGCUGUCAUUGCGGUGAUGCACUUGACAGAUUAAGUGUUCCGCCUGGGGAGUACGAUCGCAAGAUUAAAACUCAAAGGAAUAGACGGGGACCCGCACAAGUGGUGGAGCAUGUGGUUUAAUUCGAAGAUACGCGAAAAACCUUACCUGGCCUUGACAUUGAUAGAAUACUGUAGAGAUACGGUAGUGCCCUUCGGGGAGCUUGAAAACAGGUGCUGCACGGCUGUCGUCAGCUCGUGUCGUGAGAUGUUGGGUUAAGUCCCGCAACGAGCGCAACCCUCGUCCUUAGUUGCCAGCAGGUUAAGCUGGGCACUCCAAGGAGACUGCCUUCGCAAGGAGGAGGAAGGUGAGGACGACGUCAAGUCAUCAUGGCCCUUACGGCCAGGGCUACACACGUGCUACAAUGGGGCGUACAGAGAGUUGCAAUACCGCGAGGUGGAGCCAAUCUCAUAAAGCGUCUCUCAGUUCGGAUUGGAGUCUGCAACUCGACUCCAUGAAGCUGGAAUCACUAGUAAUCGUAGAUCAGCAUUGCUACGGUGAAUACGUUCCCGGGUCUUGUACUCACCGCCCGUCACACCAUGGGAGUUGAUUUCACCCGAAAUUGGGAAGCUAACCUUCGGGGGGCUACCACUUACGGUGGAAUUAGCGACUGGGGUGAAGUCGUAACAAGGUAUCCGUAA